UACGUAGGGAGCAAGCGUUGUCCGGAUUUACUGGGUGUAAAGGGUGUGUAGGCGGCACUGCAAGUCAGGCGUGAAAUAUAUGGGCUUAACCCAUAGACUGCGUUUGAAACUGUGUUGCUUGAGUGAAGUAGAGGUAGGCGGAAUUCCCGGAGUAGCGGUGAAAUGCGUAGAGAUCGGGAGGAACACCAGUGGCGAAGGCGGCUUACUGGGCGUUAACUGACGCUGAGGCACGAAAGCAUGGGUAGCAAACAGGAUUAGAUUCCCUGGUAGUCCAUGCCGUAAACGAUGAUUACUAGGUGUGGGGGGUCUGACCCCUUCCGUGCCGGAGUUAACACAAUAAGUAAUCCACCUGGGGAGUACGGCCGCAAGGUUGA
rnacentral:rRNA from 1 species